rnacentral:lncRNA from 1 species
AACGGUGUCUUUCAUAGAACCGGGUAAGGAGGAAGUUGUGUUCAGGGGAUGUCAGAGCUCACUGUUUGCGAUGACGAUUAGAUCUUCGCGAGCUAGGCUGUAAGGUACCGGACUUCUAAAAUUAUGAAGCUACGGUGUACAUUUGAUUGGAAAGCCAUUUGAAUGGUUCCGGUGAGGUUGCGGUGGAAUGUAACAUACCGGAUAUUAAAUAUAAGGGUGGAAAUAAAUAAAAAUAGUAUGAGAUACUAUUUUUAUUAGAUUUAGAGAAGUGAAAUAUAAGUUGGAAAUGACCUAUGCUGAAAUCGGAGUGAAAACAGAAGAUUUAGAAUUUUCUAUAAGAGACGGAGCAGAUAAAUUAGCAGAAAAUGCAUAGUGUCAGAAAAUUAUGAAAACUGGAGGAUAUGUCAGAAUUAUUUUUAUGAGGCUAGAUUUAAAGUUUCAGCCUAUUCUGACACCCGAAAGGUGGAGAAUAAAAUUGAACUGCUAUCUGCUAAAGAUUACAGUUCGGUUGAGCUUUCGGUGACCAAACAGGGUCGAAACUGAAAGAUUAAAAUUUAUUUCGUUAAGUUAAGUAAAACCGAGCAUGAUUGCCAAAUUUGAGCUCAAACGGACAUUUAGAAGGGCUCUGACGAAAAAUGUCAGUUUUGAACUGAAAUUGUGCUAAAGUGAAUAGUAUUUUGGUGUUGACUAUAAAAAGGAGUGUUGACCU